rnacentral:rRNA from 1 species
AAUGAACGUUGGCGGCGUGGAUUAGGCAUGCAAGUCGAGCGGUAAGGCUCCUUCGGGAGUACACGAGCGGCGCAAGGGAGAGUAACACGUGGAUAAUGUACCCCCAGGUUCGGGAUAGCUGCGGGAAACUGCAGGUAAUACCGAAUGAUAUCUCUGGAUCAAAGGUCCGCCGCCUGGGGAGCAGUCCGCGUCCUAUUAGCUUGUUGGUGAGGUAAUGGCUCACCAAGGCAAUGAUGGGUAGCGGGUGUGAGAGCAUGGCCCGUCUCACUGGGACUGAGACACUGCCCAGACACCUACGGGUGGCUGCAGUCGAGAAUCUUCGGCAAUGGGCGCAAGCCUGACCGAGCGACGCCGCGUGCGGGAUGAAGGCCUUCGGGUUGUAAACCGCUGUCAGAGGGGAGUAAAUGGCAACUUGAACGAUCCUCAGAGGAAGCGCAGGCUAAGUUCGUGCCAGCAGCCGCGGUAAGACGAACUGCGCAAACGUUAUUCGGAAUUACUGGGCUUAAAGGGUGCGUAGGCGGCCUGGCAAGUUGGGUGUGAAAUCCCACGGCUCAACCGUGGAACUGCGCCCAAAACUGCCAGACUGGAGGGAGACAGAGGUGAGCGGAACUACGGGUGGAGCGGUGAAAUGCGUUGAUAUCCGUAGGAACACCGGUGGCGAAAGCGGCUCACUGGGUCUCUUCUGACGCUGAGGCACGAAAGCUAGGGGAGCGAACGGGAUUAGAUACCCCGGUAGUCCUAGCUGUAAACGAUGAGCACUAGGUCGAGGGGACUCCCAUAUCCUCUCGGCCGAACUGAAAAAGUUAAGUGCUCCGCCUGGGGAGUAUGGCCGCAAGGCUGAAACUCAAAGGAAUUGACGGGGGCUCACACAAGCGGUGGAGGAUGUGGCUUAAUUCGAGGCUACGCGAAGAACCUUAUCCUGGUCUUGACAUGUACGGAUUAACCCUGUGAAAGCAGGGCCACGCCUUCGGGUGGAACGUAUGCAGGUGCUGCAUGGCUGUCGUCAGCUCGUGUCGUGAGAUGUCGGGUUAAGUCCCUUAACGAGCGAAACCCUUGUCCCUAGUUGCCAGCGAGUCAUGUCGGGGACUCUAGGGAGACUGCCGGUGUUAAACCGGAGGAAGGUGGGGAUGACGUCAAGUCCUCAUGGCCUUUAUGACCAGGGCUGCACACGUCCUACAAUGGCGCGUACAGAGGGAUGCGAACUCGCGAGAGCAAGCAAAUCCCAAAAAGCGCGCCUCAGUUCGGAUUGCAGGCUGCAACUCGCCUGCAUGAAGUCGGAAUCGCUAGUAAUCGCAGGUCAGCAUACUGCGGUGAAUGUGUUCCCGAGCCUUGUACACACCGCCCGUCAAGCCACGGGAGUGGGGGGCACCCAAAGACGCUGUCGUAACCCUACGGGAGCAAGGCGUCUAAGGUGAACUCCGCGACUGGGACU